AAGUAAUCUGCCGAUCCGGUAGUCUUGGUUUCUUUAGAUUUUUACAUUUCACGCACUUUUAAAAUUUUUCAUGAUGUUCUGUUUGGAUGCUUCAUAUGGAUAUAGAAGUGUUGAACUACCACUUAUCAAAUCAUUGCAAGUUCUUCCCUCUAAUCGGUAUUCUAGAUAUUUGAUACGAGGAUCACUAGGCGGCCCAUCGGGAUGAUUUUGAAGUUGGUCUUGAAGAAUCUUGUCCAACCAAAGGAACUCCAUGCAAGUACACAAAGAAAACUUGAAGCUCAAGUAAAUGUGACUACACUUUGAAAGAGAGGGUGGAUGUUCAAACAAGUAUAAGAUUGAUACUCGAAUUUUGUUUGGCUGAUGGGUUUCUUAUGCAUCCCACAUCCCACUCCAUUGGUAACUGAUGGCUCCUGCAUGAUAGAUAGAAGCAUGGGCAUUCAUCGCCAUCUUCUUGAAAU